rnacentral:rRNA from 1 species
AUUGAACGCUGGCGGCAUGCUUUACACAUGCAAGUCGAACGGUAGAGGGGCAACCCUUGAGAGUGGCGAACGGGUGAGUAAUGCAUCGGAACGUGCCCAGUAGUGGGGGAUAGCCCGGCGAAAGCCGGAUUAAUACCGCAUGAGACCUGAGGGUGAAAGCGGGGGAUCGCAAGACCUCGCGCUAUUGGAGCGGCCGAUGUCAGAUUAGCGAGUUGGUGGGGUAAAGGCCUACCAAGGCGACGAUCUGUAGCGGGUCUGAGAGGACGACCAGCCACACUGGGACUGAGACACGGCCCAGACUCCUACGGGAGGCAGCAGUGGGGAAUUUUGGACAAUGGGCGCAAGCCUGAUCCAGCCAUGCCGCGUGCGGGAAGAAGGCCUUCGGGUUGUAAACCGCUUUUGUCAGGGAAGAAAUCUUCUGGGCUAAUACCCUGGGAGGAUGACGGUACCUGAAGAAUAAGCACCGGCUAACUACGUGCCAGCCGCCGCGGUAAUAC